UUGUCUUGACUUGGUUUUUUUGUUCCGAGGAUUGAGUGCCUUGACAUUUAGAACUAUAAUUUGAAAACAUCCCAACAAUGUUUCAGAGUAGUACAACUGCUGAGUCAUGUUUUGGUGCUGCAAUCAAGGUUCAUUGGCAUAUUGUCCUGAUGAGAGUGUAGUUUAUGAAGCUUUAAACUUUGCAUUGUCCUCCGAGGUAUUAGAAUUCCUAGUUCAAAACUUAGCAAUUUGUCUUUUUAUAAAAGACCAAAUUUCCAAUUUUCAAUGUUGUUUAGGUUCGCAAACAAGAUGAUGUAUUUGGACUUACUAUAUUUUAUUUAUAUCUUUAUAUUUAA